UGAAUGUCCUUUAUAAUCCUGAUCAACGAUUUAUAAUCCCGUUGUUACAGCUUCGCUUAAGGACAACAACAAAUUUUUUGUUUUAUUAUCCUAGCGCCUGAAUUAAAUAAAACAUUUUCAUGGUGCUCGAGAAACGUAGAACUACAUUU